UACGUAGGGUGCGAGCGUUAAUCGGAUUUACUGGGCGUAAAGCGCGCGUAGGUGGUUCGUUAAGUUGGAUGUGAAAGCCCCGGGCUCAACCUGGGAACUGCAUCCAAAACUGGCGAGCUAGAGUAUGGCAGAGGGUGGUGGAAUUUCCUGUGUAGCGGUGAAAUGCGUAGAUAUAGGAAGGAACACCAGUGGCGAAGGCGACCACCUGGGCUAAUACUGACACUGAGGUGCGAAAGCGUGGGGAGCAAACAGG
rnacentral:rRNA from 1 species